UCCCACAGGAUCGCUGGAAAGAAGCAAAUUUUGAGAAGAACCCUUUCUUGGAAGGCUUUGUGGCAUUUGGAGGAGGGUCACAUCAGUGCCCAGGAAGGUGGUUUGCUGUAGCAGAGAUUCAAAUCUUCGUCGUUUUGUUCCUUUAUAAAUAUGAAUGCUGCCUUAUCGACCCAGUACCAAAGGAGAGCCUGCUCCACGUAACAGGGACGCAGCAACCGGCAGGACCGUGCAGAAUUCGGUAUAAAAGAAGAGCAUAGAAACCAUCACUGGCACAGAAAUAAUCAAUCCCAUGAUCAUGCCAGCCUCUGCCAAGACUGUUGAUCUCAAGGGCUUCUGAUGCCCUUCAGGGGCUUCCUAUGUCUUUCCGGCACCACAUCUGGAGUUCGAAAAUCAGAGUUUUAGCCACACUGCGCAACUUGUGUAUUUUUAUACCCUGCAUUUUGGAAUUCGAAUUCCUUUACCCAGCCAGCUUCUUUUCAGUCAUCCCCUUUUUCAUAUGGAUCCAACACCUCUCUAUUUAACAGACUAUCUCUAGUGUCAAACAGUGGUGGAUUCCACGCACCAUAAAUGUAACAUCUUUAGGAUGUUAUAAAAAAAAUCCGUUUGGGGAGUUUGGGUCCCCACAGCAUGAAAGAACACAAGCACUGUCAGCCAAAAUGGAUCUUUCCCCCCACCUGCUGCAUGAUGCUCUUGCCAAUUUCACAGUGCACCCGCCAUUGUGUGUGCUACCGCAGAUUCUCUGUUGAGUUUCUCCACUGAGAUUUUGUCUGCUUGCAGCUCAUCCAUUUGCUAUUUCACUGAACAAGUUAGAUGAAUAAAGUUUGUGUAGCCUAGUGACCCUGUGCGCAUAUCAUUUUUCCUUUUUUGUUGUUUUGUUUUGAGGGGGAUAUCUGCGAAGCUACAGCCACAUGACUAGAGGAUCUGCAAUAUGUGCAUAUUUGUGUUGCUGUAGCUUCACAGACAUCCCCCUCAAAACAAAAAAGGAAAAAUGACACAUGCACGGGAUUGCCGGGCUAAGCAAACUUUAUUCAUCUACUUCGUACAGUGAAAUAGUAAAUGGACAGGCUGCAAGCAGAAGAAAUUUCUGUGAGGAAUCUCCAAGGAGAAUCUCCUGCAGCCCACACAAUGGCAGGCAUGAGCAACAAGAACGAAAAUAAGAGAGUUGGUUGGGAGAAAUAAAGCAUUCCUGCCUGCUGGUGUUCGCUCAGCAACCAGGAAUCGUCCUCAGCCUGGGAUGGGGGGAAGAGAUCACUAGAUUAGCAAACUUUGAUAAAUCCAGAUUGAGAGAAAUAAGGUUGAACUCAUUCUGGAGAAGAGAGCUCUGUGAAGUUCUUCCACAAAACGCUAUUUAUAACAUCCUAAAGACAGCUCUGGUUUAGGAUCAAGAGCAAAGACAAACAGCUUUGUCCCAGACACGCAGCAGAAAGCAAAUGGGACCCAAGGAAAACUUUCAAGAGUAGCAAAGAUUUAACUGAGUUCCAUUGACAGGAGAGUUCGGUUAUAUCUUCGUGUGGAAUUGAGCCUGACAUGCUACAGACCGAGAGCUCCUUAUUCCAGCGCUUUGAUGGUGAAUUUCCUAGGAAGGAUUUGAUGGAGAUAUAAAUAUCUUUUUCUCCAUGAGUGUCAUGGGAAGUUAAUUAUAGCAGUGACCUUGUUACAAAGAUUG